UACGGAGGGUGCGAGCGUUGUCCGGAAUCACUGGGCGUAAAGGGCGCGUAGGCGGGACAGUAAGUCGGGCGUGAAAUCCCUGGGCUCAACCCAGGAACUGCACUCGAAACUACUAUUCUUGAGUGUCGGAGAGGAAAGCGGAAUUCCUGGUGUAGAGGUGAAAUUCGUAGAUAUCAGGAGGAACACCAGUGGCGAAGGCGGCUUUCUGGACGAUAACUGACGCUGAGACGCGAAAGCGUGGGGAGCAAACAGG
rnacentral:rRNA from 1 species